UCUCCCAUAGCUGAGUGGUUAGAGCAUUGGUACGUGAAGCCGAAAGUCCUGGGUUCGAUUCCCGGGGAGGGUG
rnacentral:tRNA from 1 species